GUGAUUAGCAGUGUCGGGAUCAUAGGCCCGUAUUUUUUUGAAGAAGAAGGAGUGACAGUGACUGUUAACUCGGAUCGAUAUAUUCAAAUGCUUCAAACUUUUAUGGCACCACGACUCUAUGCUCUACAGAUUCAACAGAAUGUGUGGCUUCAGGAGGGCGGGAUCACUGCUCACUAUCGUAAUGGAUUAUAUUAAUCCAGAAUUAUUGGAAAUACAGUACAAAUUCGAAGACUACAAGAUGUUGGCAGAGAAAAUGAUGAAAGAAGGCGUUGAAAUGUACAAAGAUGAAUUAGUUGCAUUAAAAUUGAAAUGUAGGCAGCUAAAUGAGGAGAUAGAAACUAUUUUCGAGAAGAGCCGCCGGCUGGUUUUGAUUGUUAUUUAGGGAUAAGACUAAUUAUUGUAUGCAAGAUGUAAAUUUAUUAAGAAUUAAGUAUAAAUUAGUGUUAAUAAAUCAUGAAUAAUAAAUAGUCACAUGUAACCAAUCUAA